UGCCGAAAAUCACCGCAUAAAAGUAUUG
rnacentral:sRNA from 1 species